GACGGAGGAUGCAAGCGUUAUCCGGAAUGAUUGGGCGUAAAGCGUCCGCAGGUGGCCGUUCAAGUCUGCUGUCAAAGACCGGGGCUUAACUUCGGAAAGGCAGUGGAAACUGAACAGCUAGAGUAUGGUAGGGGCAGAGGGAAUUCCUGGUGUAGCGGUGAAAUGCGUAGAUAUCAGGAGGAACACCGGUGGCGAAGGCGGGUCUCUGGGCCGAUACUGACGCUGAGGAGCGAAAGCGUGGGGAGCGAACAGG
rnacentral:rRNA from 1 species